CUUAGGUUCGAACCUAUGGGGUCACACGCAUUAGAAUAUUUGAUCAGAUCAGAUGGCUGAAGAGUCCAAUUAGAUUGUGAGUCUGGUGAAGAGUCCAACUCGGACUAAGACUCUAUGGAAGAGUCCCACUGAGACUGGGACUCUACUAUUAAUGGAGAAUUUAUUAGUAAUUAGAUUACUAAUUGACUCAAUUUGAUUAAGUAAAGAGCUUUAGAUCA
rnacentral:lncRNA from 1 species